CCUACGGGAGGCAGCAGUCGAGAAUCAUUCACAAUGGGGGAAACCCCGGUGGUGCGACGCCGCGUGGGGGAAUGAAGGUCUUCGGAUUGUAAACCCCUGUCAUGUGGGAGCAAAUUAAAAAGAUAGUACCACAAGAGGAAGAGACGGCUAACUCUGUGCCAGCAGCCGCGGUAAUACAGAGGUCUCAAGCGUUGUUCGGAAUCACUGGGCGUAAAGCGUGCGUAGGCUGUUUCGUAAGUCGUGUGUGAAAGGCGCGGGCUCAACCCGCGGACGGCACAUGAUACUGCGAGACUAGAGUAAUGGAGGGGGAACCGGAAUUCUCGGUGUAGCAGUGAAAUGCGUAGAUAUCGAGAGGAACACUCGUGGCGAAGGCGGGUUCCUGGACAUUAACUGACGCUGAGGCACGAAGGCCAGGGGAGCGAAAGGGAUUAGAUACCCUUGUAGUC
rnacentral:rRNA from 1 species